UGAGUCUACCCGAAGGCAG
rnacentral:snRNA from 1 species